CACGUGAACAUUUCAGGGACAGUGGUCACUGCGGUGGACAACAAUUCAAAAGUUCGUCAUUUAAGACCCUCAACCUUUUAUAGAGCAAGUGACUUUUUUGUAAUUAAAAAAUAAAUACUGGCUAUUUAUUUAUCACUAUUUUUAAUAAUGUUGUAAUAUAAAUUUCUAAAUGGAUACAAUGUUAAUCUAACUAAUAACAGACAGGUAAUGGGCUCAAGUUAGUCUAAAGUUGUUUUUUGUCAUAGUAUUUGACUCGUUGCAUGCCGGUGAUGGCGAUAAAUGUCCAAUUAAUUUAAUUUGGCUGUGAAUGCUCAUGUUUCAGUGCCAUUUACAGAGCUAGAAAUGAGUGCCCUAUUAAAAUGAUCAUCAUAAUUCGUGCAUGGAAAGGGGUUUCCUCAUGGUGGUAGGUCAAAUAUGUUUGUACAAAUAGUACCAUUUCUAAGGGUCUUUAAUCACAAAUACAGUGUUAACACUGAUCCAUUGUUUGUUUAUUUUGAAUCUGACAGACACUGCGCCACGCCUUUAAGUAGGGGGCCGUCCCACACUCCGCUUCAGUCAGUCGAAGUUGGGCGCAGUUAUUUUCAGUCACAUGCAGCGAUCUAGGUUGAAAAAGAACAGGAACACAAACAGGAAGGAAUGUCUCAGGAGUGAUUUGUUCGAGGAUUCAAGCAAUAAAACAUGGUGUACAGACAUCAACUGUAAAAAGAAAAGUGAUAGUCACGUGUCCAGAAAGUGACCCAUCUAUUUCAUCAUGGCCAUCUUGCACUAGUCCUUGGUCCCUGUAAAUACUGGACACCGAUGAGCAUUAAGCCCAAUGUGCUGCAGGCUUUUGUUGCUUCACCAGGGAGAGUGGUGUGAGGAUUUUGGAUUUCCAAUCAAGAGACCAUUGGACGGAUGACUAGCGUUUCCCCUUUUCACCCCGGUGACGAUCACUGCCUGCCCGCUGCCGUUGGCUGGCCAAUCGGUGGAAACAAUCAACCCCGUCCCUGUGUGUGACAUGAGUUGGGGUACUUUGUAUGAGUUGUCAUUUUCAGCAUUUCCCCCUUCUCUCCCCGGCGACAAGACUGCCUGCCCGCUACAGAAAAAAACUUUGAAACGCCGCUUGGUUCGUGUUAGCAUGCUAGCUAGCUGUCACGCCUCCAGCCUUGUUUAUGCUCUUUUCUCCAUCUCCGAAGCCGGGGCAGGGAAAUUGCAAAAGCCUCGAUUUACUCUGUUGGCAUAAAAUACCGUUCGGGAGGUGCAAGAAGUCGACAGUCUUUACCAUUAUGCAGUAAUUUUGCAUUUUUAAUAUUUCAUAUUCCAUUUAGCACAACAGUAUUAUUUGUCAUGAGUCAUGACCAUACCAUUUUUUUAGCAAUUGGGGAAAAAUACUUAGAUAAAAAGAAUAUUCUGUAAAAAUAUUGGAGUAGAGAGAUUGAAACAAUGACAUUUUGCUGCUCUCUGUCACAAUUUUCCCCGUUCUGAAUCUUCGCCCUCGAUGGACUGAACUCUAAAUCAGUUGAAAUCGUGACCACGGACGUCAUCCUCCAGCUGGGGACCCUAGAGCGCUACAAUGACAGACGGGGCUAAACGGCAGAUUAAAAAGACUAAUUUGUCGUCAUUUGCGCUUUGCCAAAUUGAUGUAUACAGUUAAAUCGUCUCAAAAUAUGAUUCUAAUUUACAUAAUAAUGCUAUUUAAGGUUUUUUUAAUGCUGUCACUGGCACUUUAAGCCUUAAUGUCUAAAAUUCUGAACUUUCCCUUUUAAAAUAAAGACCUAUCCAUUAAAAUGUUCUCAAUACAAGUUGUAAAGCAGUGAGACAAACACCAAAAAUGAAUAAAAUUCCAAAGAUUCCUACUAAGUAUUUCAUGGGUCAAAAUAUGUGACUAGCACCUUACCUUUGCUUGGCUUAGCCAAAACUAUACCUGAGUAGGCAAGAUGGAUAUUUAGAAGUUCUUUCUACCUAAACUUUAAAAAGCUUCAACAACAACUGAGCUUGAACCGAUGAUUGAACAGGAACAGUGUCAAGAGUAUAGUAAGUUAAUUUUAUUGCUAGCACUGCAUUUCGGGGUCAUCAACAUGUUUUGCUCCCCCUCCUACAAUAGUCAAACUCUGCCUAUGAAGUGAAUGUUACAAGAACCCUUCUGAGGUUGAAAUUUUGCCAAGGAUAAACGAUCCAAACAAGAAAAUCUACACUCAAGAGAAAGUCAAAUUCAAAAAUUUCAAGUCAUUUUAAACUCAAAUAAAUCGUCCUCUUUGUGACUAUCACCAUGAAUUGCCUCAAGACUUCUCAUGACGGCUUAUAUGUCCCGCGAGGCAGCCAAAGUCCCAGCCUUUCGAAGAAACUCCGCAUUUUUGUCAUGUAGAAGUUGUUAGCGAAGUCAACGCAAAUGUGGGAGGAUGAGUCCACCAAGAAGCAGUAGAGAGCGGUCCCACCAGCACUGAUCACCACGGUAACAAGACACAGCAAGAGAAGGAUCAAGCAGGAGUCUGCACCCACCUCAUCUGCAAAAUUUCAAUACAUGCAGUUUCUGAGUAAACUGACUUAUCUUGAAACCUGAAAUCUUAAGGAAAUAAAAUCCCAGGCAAAUGCAAACUUGGUAGGUGGGUAGAAUGCGUUACAUUCACUCAGUUAUUUACUUGAGUAACUUUUUGAAAAAAAAUUUACUUAUAAGUUUUACUUAGCCAUACUUUUUGCUUUUACUUGAGUAGAUUUGUGAUGAAGAAACACUGCUCUUACUCAGCUACUUUGGGCUACAUUUUUCCUCUUUAUUCUACAUAUUUGAGUUUUUUUCUUUUGUUUGUUUUUUUGCCAGAGACGCCAACAAUGGCGCUACCACUUUCACCAAUGAGACGUCACAACAAUAAUCACAUGAUUACACUGGACCAAUAGGACUUAAGCUUGCUGUUCUUUGAUCACGCCGGCACCGUAAAACAAUUAACAGAGCGCUGCCGUCAAAUGACUCCAAAGUGCGGAUUUUAACCUCUCUCCCUGUUUUUAUUUGGCACCGAUUGACCACGGAAGUAGACAUAAUCCUUUUAGUUUCAUAAGAGGAAAUGUUUUCUCCACUAGAAGGCACUCUUUAAACGAAUGAUGCUUAAUUUCUGUAUUUUUUUUCUUUCACCAGAAUUCAAAGAUCUUUUUUAAUGUUAUUCUUUGGCUUAAUGUGGUUAUGUAGUAGGUUUUUCUUCAAAGUAUAAAAAUAACAGUUCAUACGGAUAACUUUGUGCUGAGAAAAAUAAAAUGUAUUUUUUUUAAAAAAUUCAACAUCAUAAGCAGUUACUCACAAUUUUGCUGAUUACUUGAGUAUUAUUUCACCAAAUACUUUUGUACUUGUACUUGAGUACAUUUUUUGCUUGACUAAUUUUACCUGAGUAACAUUAUUUUAAAGUAACACUACUCUUACUUGAGUAAAAGUUUUGGCUACUCUUCUCACCUCGGCUUGUCUCAUGUCAAAGGUUGAGUCCACAUUUGAUUUUGUGGUUAACUUACUGGUAGUUACAUGUUGCAGCAAAACUUGAUCCCAUCAUGUAAAAAUGUGAAAACGGCCAUGUAAAGAUGUGAUAGUUAUGUAAAAACGUGAAACCUAUCACGUGAAAACAUGAAAACUCAUUUAAAAACGUAAAAACUAUCAUGGAAAGCAUUAACACCAUCUGCUGGGCUUAAUAACUAAAAUCUUGGCAUUUCUCAACCCAAGAAUGAAAUAAAACAAUCAAAUUGUUCAGAUUGUUAGCCAUUGUGAAGACAGUUUCCACUUUCAAUGUUUCAAAGUGAUAAAUUACAUGAUAGUUAUCACUUUUUACAUGAAAAUGAUCACUUUUACAUGAUUUAAUGUUUUAUGUGAUAUUUGUCAGGUUUUUACAUGGUAAUUAUCAGUUUAAAGUUUACAUAAUUAUGUCACUUUUACAUGAUAAUUACCGUGUUUUUACUUAAUUAUGCCGCUUUUUAAAAUUAUGUUUUUGCAUGACAGUUUUCACGUUUUUUCAGUUAUCCCAUUUUUACAUGCUA